ACUCCUACGGGAGGCAGCAGUGAGGAAUAUUGGUCAAUGGGCGCAAGCCUGAACCAGCCAUGCCGCGUGCAGGGAAGACUGCCUUAUGGGUUGUAAACUGCUUUUAUAUGGGGAAGAAAACCCCUCUACGUGUAGAGGCUUCGACGGUACCAUAAGAAUAAGCACCGGCUAACUCCGUGCCAGCAGCCGCGGUAAUACGGAGGGUGCAAGCGUUAUCCGGAAUCAUUGGGUUUAAAGGGUCCGCAGGCGGUCAAUUAAGUCAGAGGUGAAAUCCUAUAGCUUAACUAUAGAACUGCCUUUGAUACUGGUUGACUUGAGUUAUACGGAAGUAGGUAGAAAUGUGUAGUGUAAGCGGUGAAAAAUGCAUAGAUAUUACACAGAAUACCGAUUGCGAAGGCACGCCUACUACGUAUAUACUGACGCUCAUGGACGAAAAGCGUGGGGAGCGAAACAGGAUUAGAUACCCU
rnacentral:rRNA from 1 species